AGCAGCCGCGGUAAUUCCAGCUCCAAUAGCGUAUAUUAAAGUUGUUGCAGUUAAAAAGCUCGUAGUUGAAUUUUGGAUUCUGCCAAUUGGUCCAUCUUUUAGAUGAGUACUGGUUGUGUGGGGUCUAUCCGCCUGGUGAUACGUAAUGUCCUUUAUUGGAUGUUGCGGGUAGUCAGGACCUUUACCUUGAAAAAUUAGAGUGUUUAAAGCAGGCUUAUGCCGGAAUACAUUAGCAUGGAAUAAUAGAAUAGGACGAAGUUGUUUUAUUUUGUUGGUUUCUAGGACAACCGUAAUGAUUAAUAGGGAUAGUUGGGGGCAUUAGUAUUCAAUUGUCAGAGGUGAAAUUCUUGGAUUUAUUGAAGACUAACUACUGCGAAAGCAUUUGCCAAGGAUGUUUUCAUUAAUCAAGAACGAAAGUUAGGGGAUCGAAGACGAUCAGAUACCGUCGUAGUCUUAACCAUAAACUAUGCCGACUAGGGAUCGGGCGAUGUUGUUUCCAUGACUCGCUCGGCACCUUAGU
rnacentral:rRNA from 1 species